GAUGAAGAACGUAGCGAAAUGCGAUAAUUAAUGUGAAUUGCAGAAUUCAGUGAAUCAUCGAAUCUUUGAACGCACAUUGCGCCCCCUUGUAUUCCGGGGGGCAUGCCUGUUCGAGCGUCAUUUCAACCCUCAAGCUCUGCUUGGUAUUGAGUCCAUGUCAGCAAUGGCAGGCUCCAAAAUCAGUGGCGGCGCCGCUGGGUCCUGAACGUAGUAAUAUCUCUCGUUACAGGUGCUCGGCGUGCUUCUGCCAAAACCCCAAUUUUUCUAUGGUUGACCUCGGAUCAGGUAGGGAUACCCGCUGAACUUAAGCAUAUCAAUAAGCGGAGGA
rnacentral:misc_RNA from 1 species